GUGUGUGUGUGUGUGUAGUGUGUGUAUAUAAUGCAGUGUGUUUGUGUAGUGUGUUUCUAUAAUGCUCACUACACAAACACACUGCAUUAUAUACACACUAUACAAACAC